rnacentral:tRNA from 1 species
AGCUCAGUGGAAGAGCGUAUGGCUCAUAACCAUAAGGCCGGGGGUUCGACUCCCCCC